CAAAGGGGGAGAACCAGGGCUGUUGAGUACUCUGGAAGUGUGGAAGACAAUGGCUUCUUGAGUGGAGCGGCUCACUGACUCACUCGGGUCACACUGAGCUGAUCCAGUUUUUCCCUCCCUAGGCUAGUAGGAAUCACAGGAUAUGUGGCACCCAACCUGCUAAAGUCAAAGGCCUGUUUGACUUGUAGGACCUCAAAUAUCCUUGCUGCAGCCUGCCAGUGGAGGAAAAGCUUCAUGAAGGCUGAUGUCUGAACUGGUCCAGCCUCAGCCUCAACUCUUCUUCUAAGUGAGCCCAGCCUUGGAUUCACCCAUCUGAGCUGCCCCAUGUGUAUAUGGGAGACGGGGGACCCCCAGUGAUAACAUACAUCAUCCUUUUGAAUGCUGGCCAUCAUCAUGGAAGACCACUAGACUCUGCUCUCAAGAGACUCACUGUCCCAUCAUGAAUCUUGUCCCCCUGCCACCUGCAGGGCACCUACUCCCAAACA